GACGAACGCUGGCGGCGUGCUUAACACAUGCAAGUCGAACGCAUCGCAUGGUUUCCUUUUUGGUUGGUGUGUGGUGAGUGGCGAACGGGUGAGUAACACGUGAGUAACCUGUCCUUUUCUUUGGGAUAAGCAUUCGAAAGGGUGUCUAAUACUGAUUAUUCUGCUCAUGUCGCAUGGUGUGGGUUGGAAAGCUUUUGUGGAAGGGGUUGGGCUCGCGGCUUAUCAGCUUGUUGGUGGGGUGAUGGCUUACCAAGGCUUUGACGGGUAGCCGGCCUGGGAGGGUGGUCGGUCACAUUGGGACUGAGAUACGGCCCAGACUCCUACGGGAGGCAGCAGUGGGGAAUAUUGCACAAUGGACGAAAGUCUGAUGCAGCGACGCCGCGUGAGGGAUGAAGGCCUUCGGGUUGUAAACCUUUUUCGCCCCUGACCAAGGCACUAUUUUUGGUGGUGUUGAGGGUAGGGGGUAAAGAAGCUCCGGCUAACUACGUGCCAGCCGCCGCGGUAACAC
rnacentral:rRNA from 1 species